UUUCCUCACAGAGAUUAGCUAAUUACUGAUUAGAAAAGAGAAAUGAAGAUCAAUCUACUCUUUGGUCUAAGGGGAAUGAGGAAGAGACAAAUAGGAAAAAACUUCUAUCUUGUUGUGAUUCUGCUCUUUUUCAUUUGUUGUUUUUUCCUUUCAUUCAGUUGAUUUGUUAUUCUUUUCGUUUUUUAAUUUUAUUCAUUUUUUUUUCUUAAUCAACUAAUACAUUUUUUAUUAAUUUACUUGAUAGUUUCUUCAAUUCGACAAGUGUUUAAAUCGAUUGUGUAAAUAUCAUUAAUCUUUUCCUGGUGAUAUUUAGUAAAGAUUAGGUGACAACUGAAUCGAUUGGAUUUAUUAUCAUGGACAAAUUCAGUUUAGUUAUAUUUGGUUCCUCUGGUUAUACUGGAAUCUAUGUGGUCGAAGAGAUAUUUCGUUAUUUGGCUAAACAUGGACCUAAAUUUACUUGGGCAGUCGCUGGUCGAAAUGAAGUUAAACUUCGUGAGUGUUUGGCCACAUCGCUUGAUUAUGCUGGUAUCAGGGAUUAUGAUAUAUCCUCUGUCGAGAUAAUCAAUGCCGAUACAAAUGAUUACGAUUCUCUUGUCAGGAUGGCUAAAAAGGCUAAAAUUUUAAUCAGCUGUGUUGGACCUUAUCGGAGCUUCGGAGAGCCGGUAGUGAAA